CUUACAUGAUUCAUCUUCAUGCCAAAAGUAACUACUUGGUUCCUGAAAUUCAAAUAUCACAUUUGAUAAUUGCAAUGUCAGGUUGUGCGUGCAAACCAAAUUCAUUACAUCAAUCAGGAAAUACUACAACUCUGAAAUUUUCAUCUAAUUGCAGCUGCUGAUACACUAACUUUUAGAAUUAAACUGACCUGAUAUCUUUUUAAUUGAUGAUCAUCCUCUCUUUUGUUUGAUCUGCUUGUACUGUGACUC